rnacentral:rRNA from 1 species
CCUACGGGAGGCAGCAGUGGGGAAUAUUGCACAAUGGGGGAAACCCUGAUGCAGCGACGUCGCGUGAGUGAAGAAGUAUUUCUGUACGGAAAGCCCUAUCAGCAGGGCAGAAAAUGACGGUACCUGACUAAGAAGCCCCGGCUAACUACGUGCCAGCAGCCGCGGUAAUACGUAGGGGGCAAGCGUUAUCCGGAGUUACUGGGUGUAAAGGGAGCGUAGACGGCAGCGCAAGUCUGAAGUGAAAUCCCAUGGCUUAACCAUGGAACUGCUUUGGAAACUGUGCAGCUGGAGUGCAGGAGAGGUAAGCGGAAUUCCUAGUGUAGCGGUGAAAUGCGUAGAUAUUAGGAGGAACACCAGUGGCGAAGGCGGUCUGCUGAACAGCAACUGACGCUGAGGCGCGAAAGCGUGGGGAGCAAACAGGAUUAGAUACCCCAGUAGUC